CCUACGGGAUGCUGCAGUCGAGAAUCAUUCACAAUGGGGGAAACCCUGAUGGUGCGACGCCGCGUGGGGGAAUGAGGGUCUUCGGAUUGUAAACCCCUGUCAUGUGGGAGCAAAUUAAAAAGAUAGUACCACAAGAGGAAGAGACGGCUAACUCUGUGCCAGCAGCCGCGGUACUACAGAGGUCUCAAGCGUUGUUCGGAAUCACUGGGCGUAAAGCGUGCGUAGGCUGUUUCGUAAGUCGUGUGUGAAAGGCGCGGGCUCAACCCGCGGACGGCACAUGAUACUGCGAGACUAGAGUAAUGGAGGGGGAACCGGAAUUCUCGGUGUAGCAGUGAAAUGCGUAGAUAUCGAGAGGAACACUCGUGGCGAAGGCGGGUUCCUGGACAUUAACUGACGCUGAGGCACGAAGGCCAGGGGAGCGAAAGGGAUUAGAUACCCGAGUAGUC
rnacentral:rRNA from 1 species